UACGAAGGGGGCGAGCGUUGUUCGGAUUUACUGGGCGUAAAGGGCGCGCAGGCGGCGGACCAAGUCAGGCGUGAAAGCCCCGGGCUUAACCUUGGAACUGCGUCGGAUACUGGAUGGCUUGAAUUCGGGAGAGGGAUGCAGAAUUCCAGGUGUAGCGGUGAAAUGCGUAGAUAUCUGGAGGAAUACCGGUGGCGAAGGCGGCAUCCUGGACCGACAUUGACGCUGAUGAGCGAAAGCUAGGGGAGCAAACGGG
rnacentral:rRNA from 1 species